rnacentral:rRNA from 1 species
UACUAGAGACCGGCGCACGGGUGCGUAACGCGUAUGUAAUCUACCUUUCACAGAGGGAUAGCCCAGAGAAAUUUGGAUUAAUACCUCAUAGUAUAUAGACCUGGCAUCAGGAUUAUAUUAAAGUCACAACGGUGAAAGAUGAGCAUGCGUCCCAUUAGCUAGUUGGUAUGGUAACGGCAUACCAAGGCGACGAUGGGUAGGGGUCCUGAGAGGGAGAUCCCCCACACUGGUACUGAGACACGGACCAGACUCCUACGGGAGGCAGCAGUGAGGAAUAUUGGACAAUGGGCGCAAGCCUGAUCCAGCCAUGCCGCGUACAGGAUGACGGUCCUAUGGAUUGUAAACUGCUUUUGCACAGGAAGAAACAACGCUACGUGUAGCGUCUUGACGGUACUGUGAGAAUAAGGAUCGGCUAACUCCGUGCCAGCAGCCGCGGUAAUACGGAGGAUCCAAGCGUUAUCCGGAAUCAUUGGGUUUAAAGGGUCCGUAGGCGGUCUUAUAAGUCAGUGGUGAAAUCUCCCCACUCAACGGGGAAACGGCCAUUGAUACUGUAAGACUUGAAUUAUUAGGAAGUAACUAGAAUAUGUAGUGUAGCGGUGAAAUGCUUAGAGAUUACAUGGAAUACCAAUUGCGAAGGCAGGUUACUACUAAUGGAUUGACGCUGAUGGACGAAAGCGUGGGUAGCGAACAGGAUUAGAUACCCUGGUAGUCCACGCCGUAAACGAUGGAUACUAGCUGUUGGGUGCAAACUCAGUGGCUAAGCGAAAGUGAUAAGUAUCCCACCUGGGGAGUACGUUCGCAAGAAUGAAACUCAAAGGAAUUGACGGGGGCCCGCACAAGCGGUGGAGCAUGUGGUUUAAUUCGAUGAUACGCGAGGAACCUUACCAAGGCUUAAACGCAGAUUGACCGGUUUGGAAAAGACUUUCGCAGACAUUUACAGUGCU